UAUAGAAAUGCAACAGCCUGUUGGCACCUGGUGAGCUUAAAUGGGCAGUGCUGAUGCUGGGCAGAAAAAUCACCCAUCUGCAAUAUUGGCUGUGACUCGACUGAACUGGAAAACAAACUUUUGGCUGACCGUUUUCACCAAAACUGUGUACUUUUAAGCACAGUUAUCCCCAGGUUGUGCCACAGAUAUCCCCAAGCUCUCCUCUCCCAGAUUUGCCACUGAAGUGCAGCUCACAUCUCCCAUGCUACUGGCACAGCACACACAACUUUAUCUGGUUGAUGGGUCCCUGAAUAAGAAGAUUAUUUCCCCAGCUUAUCAUUGAGGGACAGUUUACAGCAACGUUAAGUGCUGUAGUGAAGUCUUGGGGGGCUUCUGUUGCUUCCUUUUGGGGUCUUAAUUGCCUUGCUGCUCUUGCCAAGUUAACGACUAUCUCUCAGUGAUGCACCCACUCCUGAGCUCUCCCCUUUCUGUAAUGCAGGGAGAGCAGGUAAGUAGCCAAAAGCAUGAAUGGCAAAAUCUUUUUGGGUAGAUCUAAUGACAGCCUGCAGGUAGGCAUGACUGGAGGAGGUGCUGCUGCCCAAAACAAGCAGGGGAAAUUCUCCCCAGCACAGCGUGUCCGGGCUGGGCUCCCGCCCUGCUGUCGGUAGCGGCGAGCUCUGAGCCCAGUGGCCACCCCAGGGAGCUGGCAGACCCUGGCUGUUUGAAAACUCAUAGUUCUUUCCAGGAAAGACACAGAGGAAUUGCACUGCCUGCGCACGCAAACAUUUGGUUUGGCCACUGCCACCUGUUAGAAGGGUCUCCAAGAUCAGCAUGCCCUCGCAUCUCUGGCUCUGCCUCUUGCAGUGACUCAGAGGAUGCACAGGGCCCUGCGGUGGAGAGGGUGGUGGGGAGUUGAAGCCCACAGCAUGGGGUCAGCUCGGCUCCUGCAGACUCCUGCUCUCACCUCCCGAAGCACAGGCACAGCACGCAGUGAGCUCUGAAGCGCACAGGGUCUUGCUGGUCACCUCGGGGAGGUGGGUGCUGAGACCACCAGGAAAGGAAGAAUUGUUAUUGACCGAGGAACUGAAGGAAAAACAAGAGACGAGGGCAGGUGGCUUCACUGGGAAUGAACCAUGGAAGGACGAUGACUACGGUGAUCAUGCUGCCUUGUGAACACAGCCCUUGCUUUGCCCACACUGUGUGUCCUUUGGGGUUCACUCAAGGUAUGCCAUGGACAUACCUGGUCUGCUGAGCAGCUGUGAUGGGCAGGAGAGGUGUCCGGGGAGGAAACUCCUCUGGGUAAAACAGCAGCACGUAAUAAUUCCCUGGUAGGUUCUCCAGGAUGAGGGAAGCAUGGUGCAGGGGUGCACACCAUGUACACAGGACCCCAGCGACUCAGCAUGUGCCAUACGAGUGCACCCAGCAAAUAUUUCACCACUGACCCAUCAGCCAUCCUGUGCCUUGGUGCACGCUGUGCUCAUGAUGGUGGAGGGCCUCUGGCUGGCCACGGGAAUUGGUGCUGUCUGACUUGUAGGUCCUGUCCAGCUGGGAUCCCUCUAUCAUGGGCUUUAAUGCAUUUUUUUAUUGGAGAUCUACUGGAGCAAUACCUCCUGCACCCACCUUUGGCAAGAACAUCCUUGUGGUAAGAAGUUCAUUUACCCUAAGUACUCAAGGAGGUGCAGGUUGGUAUCUGCUAGUGAUGAUCAGUGGUUGGGAUCAGCAUACUUCUGUGGUGGACACGUUAUCUACAGACCCCCAUUCCUGAAUCCUGUGGUCUGUGGGGAACUCUUAGGACAUUUUUGCAGAGCCUACUGUGGUGUAUUUAUAUGAACUAAACUGAAAUGCAUAUACAAGUGUUAUCCCAAUUGAGUCUUUAGACAGACUCACCAAAAAUCUGAGGACUUGGAAAAAGAUGGAAGGACUUUAUGUCUGAACUCCUUAAACCCUAGCCAAAAUUUUCAAAAAUGUUCAAUUGAUUUGGACACCAAGGUACCUAAGGCCUUUUGAAAUGGGAGGUAAGCUCCCACAUCACUGACAUGCUUUCAAAACAUUUUAUCCUUUCAUUCAAGCUACAUUUCACUUAGAUGCAGACGUGAAGCAGCUUAAUCCACUGCAGGGGAAGCGACCCUGUGAAGAAGCAGUAUCUUAAAGUUUGGAAAUAAUUAGCACUUGCCUCCAUUGUGAAGUUGGCAGGAAAGGUAAUUCUAAUCGGUGAUGGUAAACACCAAGGUAACUAAUUGGUGGGUUUUAAUUCUCGUUAUGUGACAUCCCAUAGCCACGGCUGCCCGUGCCUUUCACACCUCUCCGGAGAGCCGGCUUGCUUGGCCUACUUCUUCCACCAUCAGAAAAAAUGUGUUUCCCAUGAAUCUAAAGCUGCUUCUAUUUAUGGGUGUAAUGCUACAAGGUCGCAGUCAAAGCAUAGUUCUUGACAAUAAAAAGCAAAACAAACAAAAAGCAAAAAUAAGAACCAAAGCAAACAAAAA